rnacentral:tRNA from 1 species
GAGGAUGUAGCUCAGUUGGUAGAGUGCUUGUCUCUUGUGCACAAGGCCCUGGGUUCAAUCCCCAGCACCACA